rnacentral:rRNA from 1 species
AGUCGAGAAUCUUCGGCAAUGGACGAAAGUCUGACCGAGCGACGCCGCGUGCGGGAUGAAGGUCUUCGGAUUGUAAACCGCUGUCGAGGGGGAUCAAAUGCUAGGGGGUUCUCCCCUUAGUUUGAGAGAACCCUGGAGGAAGGGGAGGCUAAGCUCGUGCCAGCAGCCGCGGUAAGACGAGCUCCCCAAACGUUAUUCGGUAUCACUGGGCUUAAAGAGUUCGUAGGCGGCGAAGUAGGUGAGGUGUGAAAGCCCUCGGCUCAACCGAGGAACUGCGCUUCAAACCGUUUUGCUUGAGGGAGAUAGGGGUAAGCGGAACAGAUGGUGGAGCGGUGAAAUGCAUUGAUAUCAUCUGGAACACCGGUGGCGAAAGCGGCUUACUGGAUCUUUUCUGACGCUGAGGAACGAAAGCUAGGGGAGCGAA